rnacentral:rRNA from 1 species
UACGAAGGGGGCUAGCGUUGUUCGGAAUUACUGGGCGUAAAGGGCUCGUAGGCGGCCAACUAAGUCAGACGUGAAAUCCCUCGGCUUAACCGGGGAACUGCGUCUGAUACUGGAUGGCUUGAGGUUGGGAGAGGGAUGCGGAAUUCCAGGUGUAGCGGUGAAAUGCGUAGAUAUCUGGAGGAACACCGGUGGCGAAGGCGGCAUCCUGGACCAAUUCUGACGCUGAGGAGCGAAAGCCAGGGGAGCAAACGGGG